rnacentral:rRNA from 1 species
UGCCCGUGAGUGAGGAAGGCCUUCGGGUUGUAAAGCUCUGUCCUAUAGGAAGAACGGCCAUAUGGUUAAUACCCAUUUGGUUUGACGGUACUAUAGAAGAAAGCACCGGCUAACUCCGUGCCAGCAGCCGCGGUAAUACGGAGGGUGCAAGCGUUGUUCGGAUUUACUGGGCGUAAAGCGCGCGCAGGCGGAUUGGCAAGUCAGAUGUGAAAUCUCGGGGCUUAACCCCGAAACUGCGUCUGAAACUGCUAGUCUAGAGUCUCAUAGGGGGCAGGGGAAUUUCACGUGUAGGGGUAAAAUCCGUAAAGAUGUGAAGGAACACCGGUGGCGAAGGCGCCUGCCUGGAUGAGUACUGACGCUGAGGCGCGAAAGCGUGGGGAGCAAACAGGAUUAGAUACCCUGGUAGUCCACGCCGUAAACGAUGAGUACUAGCUAUUGGAGGUAUUGACUCCUUCAGUGGCGCAGCUAACGCAUUAAGUACUCCGCCUGGGAAGUACGGUCGCAAGACUAAAACUCCAGGAAAUGACGG